GAGGGUCCCCAGAAGAGAUGCCGUUCAUCUGUGGUGUGGCAGCAUUUCCAUUUGGAAACCCCAGAUAAAGUGAGAUGUAUGUAUUAUGAUCGGCAGCUAGCCUACUGCAACAAUACAUCAUCCACGAUGAGCCAUUUGAGGAGCAUUAUCCAGCCAUUGUGCAGGGUGCAGACGAUGGUAGCAUUGCCCCUGUACUGAAGCCUGCUACUGAUACUGCUGGGCCAUCUAAGCAAGAGCCACAAAUGUCAACAUCAGGCCCAUCAUCAUCAUCACCACCAUCAACACGAUUAGAAACACAGGACAGUUUAUGGGAACUUUUUGAUAAUCGUAUCCAUGAAACCCAGAUGAUGCACAAUGCUACAGCUGAUGCCACACUGGAAGUGAAACCAUACCUCCAUGAUGCGUUUUUGCCCAGAACUCCUGAUCCCCUAAUUCACUGGAAAGAAGAGAGCAGUAAUCUUACCUCAUUUGAUAAUUACAAGGAAUCCGACUUGGGUUGAGUCAACUUGCAUUUCGACAGAGAGAAGUGGGGCAGAAGAUAUUUUCUUUUGAUGUAGUCACAAGAGCCAUGUUUCUUUUUUAUUGACAAAAAAGAAUGGCAAGACCUGAGGAAGCAUCAAAAAGGAAAAUGCUUUCAAGGAUUACAG